CCGCCGCCCUUUAAAACCCCAUUUCGUCACUUGAAACCCCCCUCUCCGCUUCCGCGCAGACCUCGCCUGCCUUCCCUCCCUCCCUCUCUCUCUAGCUUCAAACAGCUCUCUCUGCUCUCUCUCCUCAAAUCUCAAAGAACACAGAGAACCAAGAAUUCUAGAGAGAGAGAGGUGCAGAGAGAAGAGAAGAGAAGAGAAUCACAACCUCAGAAGAACUCCAUCAUGGCCCAGCAAUCUAAUGGAGGCACCGAUCUGGGCACUCAGCAGCAGCAGCUGCAACAACAACAGCAACAACAGCAGCAGCAGCAGCAACAUCAAUGGAUGCACCAGCAGCAGCAGCAGCAAUGGAUGGCCAUGCAGUACCCGGCCGCGGCGAUGGCGAUGAUGCAGCAGCAGAUGAUGGUGUACCCGCAGCAUUACAUGCCAUAUGCGGCGACUCCCCAUCAUCCUCACCACAAUCCAUACCAGCAGCAGCCUCAGGCUGUGGCGUAUCAGCAGCAUCAGCCGCCGAAGCAGCAGCAUUCGCCGUCCCAGAAACAGGGGCCCACCGAGGAGGUCAGGACCAUCUGGGUCGGCGACCUUCAUCAUUGGAUGGACGAGACUUACCUUCACGGAUGCUUUGCUCACACUGGACAGGUUUCCUCAGUAAAGGUUAUACGCAAUAAGCAAACUGGUCAGUCAGAGGGAUACGGAUUUGUUGAGUUCUAUUCACGUGAAGUAGCUGAAGAAGUUUUGCAGAACUGUAACGGAGCUCCCAUGCCGAAUACAGAGCAGCCUUUUCGUUUGAACUGGGCAACCUUCAGUGCUGGUGAUAGACGAGCAGAACCUAGUUCUGAUCUAUCUAUCUUUGUAGGAGAUUUGGCUACAGAUGUGACUGACACUAUGUUGCAGGAGACUUUUUCUAGUAGAUAUUCAUCUGUUAAGGGAGCAAAAGUUGUUCUAGAUGCAAAUACUGGACGUUCAAAAGGUUAUGGUUUUGUUAGGUUUGGUGAUGAAAAUGAGAGGUCAAGGGCCAUUGCUGAAAUGAAUGGUGCGUAUUGUUCAAGCAGGGCCAUGCGCAUAGGUGUUGCAACACCCAAAAAAUCACCUGCAUAUCAGCAACAGUAUUCUUCACAAGCAUUGGUAUUGGCUGGUGGUGGACAUGCAUCAAAUGUUGCCGUCGCCCAAGGGUCCCAGUUUGACAGUGAGCCCAAUAACACAACUAUAUUUGUUGGAGGGCUUGAUUCUGAGGUCAAUGAUGAAGACCUCCGGCAGCCUUUUUCUCAUUUCGGUGAAGUUGUCUCUGUGAAAUACCAGUUGGAAAAGCUUGUGGUUUUGUUCAGUUUGCUAAUAGGAAGGAUGCUGAGAACGCAAUACAGAUGCUGAAUGGAACGGUUAUUGGCAAGCAAACAGUUCGACUUUCUUGGGGUCGCAGUCAGGGGAACAAGCAGUGGAGGUCGGAUUCAAGUAACCAGUGGAACGGAGCACAUUAUGGAGGACAGGGCUAUGGUGGGUAUGGACAUGUUGUGCCACAGGGUCAAGACCUGAGCAUGCACACUGCAGCUGCAGUUAACGGGACUUCUUAACAGGGAUAUGGCCGAUGCCAACAGCGUGUAAACUGAACUUACAGAAAGUGGCGUUUUAGUUAUAGUUAUCGCUGAAUUAAAGUAGGGUUGAUUUGGCAGCUCAAUUUAGCUAAAUCUGUAAUGUGAGGAAUUUUUUAUACCGGAUUGAAUUGAAAUCUUGAUGUCUGUGUGGGAUGAAUACUUGGGUCUGCUUGACAAUAUUCGAAUCGACCGGAAUUCUUUCAUCCAGGAAAAUAUAUGUAAACUAAGAAAAGAAGAUUGAGAACAAUAAUGAGUUCAUAUUCGUACCAUCCGUUAAUCACUUUAUACCGA